rnacentral:rRNA from 1 species
GAUGAACGCUAGCGGCGUGCCUAAUACAUGCAAGUCGAGCGAAGCGGGGAGGGGUGAGUAUAACGUGGAUAACCGCCUAUAAGACUGGGAAAAAUUAGGGAAAACGGAGCUAACACGGCUAAUUAUAGAUGGAUCCGCUCUGCAGUAGCUAGUUGGUAAGGUAACGGCUUACAAAGGCAACGACACAUAGCCGACCUGCGAGGGUGAUCGGCCACACUGGAACGUAGACACGGUCCAAACGCCUACGGGAGGCAGCAGUAGGGAAUCUUCCGCAAUGGGCGAAAGCCUGACGGAGCAACCCCGCGUGAGUGAUGAAGGUCUUCGGAUCGUAAAGCUCUUUUAUUAGGGAAGCGGUACCUAAACAGAAAGCCCCGGCUAACUACGUGCCAGCAGCCGCGGUAAUAC